AACGAACGCUGGCGGCAUGCCUAACACAUGCAAGUCGAACGACGGCUUCGUCCUUAGUGGCGCACGCGUGCGUCACGCGUGGGAAUCUGCCCUUGGGUUCGGAAUACCGUCUGUACACUGACGCUAAUACCGGAUGAUGACGUAAGUUCAAAGAUUUAUCGCCCAAGGGUGAGCCCGCGUCGGAUUAGCCAGUUGGUGAGGUAAAAGCUCACCAAGGCGACGAUCCGUAGCUGGUCUGAGAGGAUGAUCAGCCACACUGGGACUGAGACACGGCCCAGACUCCUACGGGAGGCAGCAGUGGGGAAUAUUGGACAAUGGGCGAAAGCCUGAUCCAGCAAUGCCGCGUGAGUGAUGAAGGCCUUAGGGUUGUAAAGCUCUUUUACCCGGGAUGAUAAUGACCGUACCGGGAGAAUAAGCUCCGGCUAACUCCGUG
rnacentral:rRNA from 1 species